CACUCUUCGGAGUGAGCGGCGGACGGGUUAGUAACGCGUGGGAACAUACCCUUUUCUAUGGAAUAGCCUCGGGAAACUGAGAGUAAUACCAUAUACGCCCUUCGGGGGAAAGAUUUAUCGGUGAAGGAUUGGCCCGCGUAAGAUUAGAUAGUUGGUGGGGUAAUGGCCUACCAAGUCUACGAUCUUUAGCUGGUUUGAGAGGAUGAUCAGCAACACUGGGACUGAGACACGGCCCAGACUCCUACGGGAGGCAGCAGUGGGGAAUCUUAGACAAUGGGCGCAAGCCUGAUCUAGCCAUGCCGCGUGAGUGACGAAGGCCUUAGGGUCGUAAAGCUCUUUCGCCAGAGAUGAUAAUGACAGUAUCUGGUAAAGAAACCCCGGCUAACUCCGUGCCAGCAGCCGCGGUAAUACGGAGGGGGUUAGCGUUGUUCGGAAUUACUGGGCGUAAAGCGUACGUAGGCGGAUUGGAAAGUAGGGGGUGAAAUCCCAGGGCUCAACCCUGGAACUGCCUCCUAAACUAUCAGUCUAGAGUUCGAGAGAGGUGAGUGGAAUUCCAAGUGUAGAGGUGAAAUUCGUAGAUAUUUGGAGGAACACCAGUGGCGAAGGCGGCUCACUGGCUCGAUACUGACGCUGAGGUACGAAAGUGUGGGGAGCAAACAGGAUUAGAUACCCUGGUAGUCCACACCGUAAACGAUGAAUGCCAGACGUCGGGGGG
rnacentral:rRNA from 1 species